rnacentral:rRNA from 1 species
AAUUCGAUUAGUUUGAUCAUGGCUCAGGAUGAACGCUGGCGGCGUGCUUAAUACAUGCAAGUCGAGCGAUCGGACUCCGGGUAGCAAUACUUGGAGUUACGGAGCGGCGAACGGGUGAGUAACACGUGACCAAUCUGCCUUUGAGACGGGGAUAACGUUGGGAAACCAGCGCUAAUACCCGAUGACCCCGAAGCUAGGCAUCUAGCAACGGGCAAAUGGAUUCCGCUCAUAGAGGAGGUCACGGCCUAUCAGCUUGUUGGUGAGGUAAUGGCUCACCAAGGCUAUGACGGGUAGCUGGCGUGAGAGCGCGACCAGCCACACCGGGACUGAGACACGGCCCGGACUCCUACGGGAGGCAGCAGUAGGGAAUAUUGGACAAUGGGCGAAAGCCUGAUCCAGCGACGCCGCGUGGAGGAUGAAGGCCUUCGGGUUGUAAACUCCUGUUGUGAGGAAAAAAGCCGUAAGGUGAUGGUACCUCACGAGGAAGCCCCGGCUAACUACGUGCCAGCAGCCGCGGUAAGACGUAGGGGGCGAGCGUUAUCCGGAUUCACUGGGCGUAAAGGGCGUGUAGGCGGUUACAUAAGUCCGGCGUGAAAUCUCACGGCUUAACCGUGGAACUGCGUCGGAUACUGUGUUGACUUGAGGACGGUAGAGGUAAGUGGAACUAGCGGUGUAGCGGUGAAAUGCGCAG